UGACCCUGAUCAUGAAUAGGUUUGAUACCAGAUCGUGACAACAAACACGAUUGUCCACGUAGAGGCUACAGCUGAAACAUUAGCUUCCAAAUUUGAAGGCAUGCAAAUAGCAUUACUAUUAAGUUCAAAAUGCAUAAACCUCAUCAGUUCAAACAUUCACAGCAGCUCAGAGUUGCAAUUGCAAUGCAUAAACCGGUACCCAAACAAUCUGCCACAAAGCAAGAAAAAAAGCUGGUAACACUAUGGGAUAAGAUCUGUCGCGGCCUAAGCCUUGAGCUUGCCGUAGAACUUCUGCUUCUCGUCGGUGGUCUGGAACCGGCCAUGCCCAAACUUUGAUGAGGUGUCGAUGAACUUGAGCUUGAUCUCCUCAAGGGCCAACCGCGACGUCUGCUUUAACAGGGACUGGCGGAGGGUCACCACUCUCUUCUUGGGGCCCACACAGCAGCCCUUGAUCAUGAGGUAGUCACCCUUCACCACACCAUAGUGAGGGAAGCCACCCAUCGGGGUGAUGUCCUUCUCAGUCCUGCAAGCACCAGCAUGGCCGUCAGUUUCAUG
rnacentral:lncRNA from 1 species